UCUCAUGCCCUAUAUGCCCUGGCUACACACGUGCUACAAUGGAAGGUACAAAGGGAAGCAAGAUAGUGAUAUUAAGCAAACCUCAAAAAGCCUUUCUCAGUUCGGAUUGUACUCUGCAACUCGAGUACAUGAAGAUGGAGUUGCUAGUAAUCGCAGAUCAGAAUGCUGCGGUGAAUGCGUUCCCGGGUCUUGUACACACCGCCCGUCACACCAUGGGAGCUUGUAAUACCCGAAGCCUGUGAGCAAACCGUAAGUAGCAGCAGUCGAAGGUAGGAUAAGUGACUGGGGUGAAGUCGUAACAAGGUAGCCCGUAUCAGGAA
rnacentral:rRNA from 1 species